rnacentral:misc_RNA from 1 species
AAGUCGUAACAAGGUUUCCGUAGGUGAACCUGCGGAAGGAUCAUUACCGAGUACCGGAGCUUUCGGGCCCCUACUCCCACCCUAUGUCGACUUUGAAUGUUGCUUUGGCGGACCGGUGGUCCCACCGCCGGCCCAGGCUGGAGAGCGUCCGCCAGAGGAUUCCUAAACUCCGUUUAACUGUAAAUUCUGAGUCUUGACAAAUUGAAUUAAAACUUUCAACAACGGAUCUCUUGGUUCUG